GUAGGUGAACCUGCGGAAGGAUCAUUAUUGAAAUAAACCUGAUGGGUUGUUGCUGGUUCUCUAGGGAGCAUGUGCACACUUGUCAUCUUUAUAUCUCCACCUGUGCACCUUUUGUAGAUCUGAAUAGCUUUCUGAAUGCCUAGCAUUUGGGUUUGAAGAUUGACUUUGCUGUCUCUCUUUACUUUCAGGUCUAUGUUUCUCCAUAUACCCCUAUGUAUGUUAUAGAAUGUAAUAAAUGGGCCUUUGUGCCUAUAAAUUUAUACAACUUUCAGCAACGGAUCUCUUGGUUCUC
rnacentral:misc_RNA from 1 species